rnacentral:piRNA from 1 species
UGAGCGACAGAGAGGAGCCUAAGCAC